CCUACGGGUGGCAGCAGUGGGGAAUAUUGGUCAAUGGGCGAAACCCUGAACCAGCAACGCCGCGUGAGGGAUGAAGGUUUUCGGAUUGUAAACCCCUUUUUUUAGAGAAGCUAAUGCCGGUAUCUGACGAAUAAGCACCGGUUCACUCAGUGCCAGCAGCCGCGGUAAUCCGGCGGGUGCAAGCGUUACUCGGAAUGAUUGGGCGUAAAUGGCGCGUAGGUGGGAUGGCAAGUCAGAUGUGAAAUCCUAUGGCUUAACCAUAGAAAUGCAGUUGAUACUGUUAUUCUAGAGUAUGGGAGAGGUAGGUGGAAUUCGUGGUGUAGCGGUGAAAUGCGGAGAGAUCAAGAAGAAUACUGAUUGCGAAGGCGGCCUGCUAGAACGUAACUGACGCUGAUGCGCGAAAGCGUGGGGAGCAAACAGGAUUAGAUACCCCAGUAGUC
rnacentral:rRNA from 1 species